rnacentral:rRNA from 1 species
CCUACGGGAGGCAGCAGUAGGGAAUAUUGCUCAAUGGGGGAAACCCUGAAGCAGCAACGCCGCGUGGAGGAUGAAGGUUUUCGGAUUGUAAACUCCUUUUGUUAGAGAAGAUAAUGACGGUAUCUAACGAAUAAGCACCGGCUAACUCCGUGCCAGCAGCCGCGGUAAUACGGAGGGUGCAAGCGUUACUCGGAAUCACUGGGCGUAAAGAGCGCGUAGGCGGGAUAGCAAGUCAGAUGUGAAAUCCUAUGGCUUAACCAUAGAACUGCAUUUGAAACUGUUGUUCUAGAGUAUGGGAGGGGUAGGUGGAAUUCUUGGUGUAGGGGUAAAAUGCGUAGAGAUCAAGAGGAAUACUGAUUGCGAAGGCGAGCGGCUAGAACAUAACUGACGCUGAGGCGCGAAAGCGUGGGGAGCAAACAGGAUUAGAUACCCCGGUAGUC